GGUUAAGUUAAUAAGGGCGCACGGUGGAUGCCUUGGCACUAGAAGCCGAUGAAGGACGUGACUAACGACGAAAUGCUUUGGGGAGCUGUAAGUGAGCAAUGAUCCAGAGAUGUCCGAAUGGGGGAACCCGGCAGGUAAUGCCUGUCACUCAUUACUGUUAAGGUAAUGUAGAGGAAGACGCAGUGAACUGAAACAUCUAAGUAGCUGCAGGAAGAGAAAGCAAAAGCGAUUGCCUUAGUAGCGGCGAGCGAAACGGCAAGAGGGCAAACCGAAGAGUUUACUCUUCGGGGUUGUAGGACUGCAACGUGGACUUAAAGAUUAUAGAAGAACUACCUGGGAAGGUAGGCCAAAGAGAGUAAUAGCCUCGUAUUCGAAAUAGUCUUUAUACCUAGCAGUAUCCUGAGUACGGCGAGACACGAGAAAUCUCGUCGGAAUCUGGGAGGACCAUCUCCCAACCCUAAAUACUCUCUAGUGACCGAUAGUGAACCAGUACCGUGAGGGAAAGGUGAAAAGCACCCCGGGAGGGGAGUGAAAUAGAACCUGAAACCGUGUGCCUACAACAAGUUCGAGCCCGUUAAUGGGUGAGAGCGUGCCUUUUGUAGAAUGAACCGGCGAGUUACGAUAUGAUGCGAGGUUAAGUUGAAGAGACGGAGCCGUAGGGAAACCGAGUCUUAAUAGGGCGUAUUAGUAUCAUGUCGUAGACCCGAAACCAUGUGACCUACCCAUGAGCAGGUUGAAGGUGAGGUAAAACUCACUGGAGGACCGAACCAGGGCACGUUGAAAAGUGCUUGGAUGACUUGUGGGUAGCGGAGAAAUUCCAAACGAACUUGGAGAUAGCUGGUUCUCUCCGAAAUAGCUUUAGGGCUAGCGUCGAUGUUAAGUCUCUUGGAGGUAGAGCACUGUUUGGGUGAGGGGUCCAUCCCGGAUUACCAAUCUCAGAUAAACUCCGAAUGCCAACGAGAUAUAAUCGGCAGUCAGACUGCGAGUGCUAAGAUCCGUAGUCGAAAGGGAAACAGCCCAGACCACCAGCUAAGGUCCCAAAAUAUAUGUUAAGUGGAAAAGGAUGUGGGGUUGCACAGACAACUAGGAUGUUAGCUUAGAAGCAGCUAUUCAUUCAAAGAGUGCGUAAUAGCUCACUAGUCGAGUGACCCUGCGCCGAAAAUGUACCGGGGCUAAAACAUAUUACCGAAGCUGUGGAUACCUUUAUAGGUAUGGUAGGAGAGCGUUCUAUGUGCGAAGAAGGUGUACCGUGAGGAGUGCUGGAGCGCAUAGAAGUGAGAAUGCCGGUAUGAGUAGCGAAAGACAGGUGAGAAUCCUGUCCACCGUAAGACUAAGGUUUCCAGGGGAAGGCUCGUCCGCCCUGGGUUAGUCGGGACCUAAGGAGAGACCGAAAGGUGUAUCCGAUGGACAACAGGUUGAUAUUCCUGUACUAGAGUAUAUAGUGAUGGAGGGACGCAGUAGGCUAACUAAACCAGACGAUUGGAAGUGUCUGGCCAAGCAGUGAGGUGUGAUAUGAGUCAAAUGCUUAUAUCUAUAACAUUGAGCUGUGAUGGGGAGCGAAGUUUAGUAGCGAAGUUAGUGAUGUCACACUGCCGA
rnacentral:rRNA from 1 species